UACGUAGGUGGCAAGCGUUGUCCGGAUUUACUGGGCGUAAAGGGCGUGCAGGCGGUCUGUUAAGUGCAGGGUGAAAGCUCCCGGCUCAACUGGGAGAGGUCCUUGCAUACUGGCGGACUUGAGGGGGGUAGAGGAAAGUGGAAUUCCCGGUGUAGUGGUGAUAUGCGUAGAUAUCGGGAGGAACACCUGUGGCGAAGGCGAGUCUCUGGACAUUUCCUGACGCUGAGGCACGAAAGCCAGGGGAGCAAACGGG
rnacentral:rRNA from 1 species